GGAUAUGAGGGCAAUUUGGCUGCAAAAUCCGACACCCCAUUGAUCACCAGGGCUGAUUUGGAUGAUCUGGCUGACUAAGCUGGUGUCCCCUUCCUCUGUCACUGCCAAUAGAGAAGGACCAGUUUUUGGUCAGGUAGCUGCACUCUUCUGCUAGAAUCUCUAAAGAAGCUCCCAAGAAUAUCACCUAAUAAAAUAUUUUUGGAAAAAAUAAUUGAUUUUGUUACCCCUGUGUACUCGAAAUUCAUU
rfam:Cricetulus griseus cell line CHO-K1, whole genome shotgun sequence.